GGGUCCGCACGUCCCUGACGAUGAGUGACGUGGGCACCUUCCCACAUGCUUGCUAGUCAUUGUGUACUUCUGUGGGGAAAUCACCCUUACGUUUUAUCAACAAAAACAAAAUGUACCGGCAUUUGAAAAUAGUCCUUUCUAGCAUUUCUACAGAACACACAACAGUCACGAUUCAGAUACCUGACUGGCCAGACCACUUAACUGAGUGGAACAUUGUUGACGUUACCAGGAAGGUGGGUGGGCUCGGAAGCCGUCAACAGCUCUUAGAGAGUGCUCCCUCGGCCUGCGUUCCCCCGGGAAGGCGCUCGGUGACGUCUCCACUCUCCGACACGCGGGAGAGCAGCCUGAGCUCUUGGGGUCGUGAGCGACCGACCCAGGCGGGCCUGACGAAGCAGGGCUCGAGUCUCAGACGCAGACUGCUGGCGCAUGGGAGAGGAAGUAGCUGGCGAGCCCUCUUGAUGGUUUCCACUUUGGCUUAGUUAUAAACGUGCGAUUGGGCUCAUUAUCGUGACGUAAGGCAGACUCUCGGGACGGGGACGUGAGUUUCUUAUCUGCCUCUCUCGCAAGGCCGGCAGGGCAGCGUGAGCUGAGCACGGCCAUCGGCUCUCUUCCUACAUGGUCCUGCCCCAAAGGCCAUCGCUUCCCCCUUCCUCGCUCGGCUUCCUUCCUGGGGACUUGGGGGUACAACACCCAGCUCUUCCCCAAGCAGGAUUUGGAACACAUUCUGUGGGAAGGACUUUGCCUUCACCUCAGGUUUUGGUUACGGAUCCGCUGCAGCUGGCCUGGUGAU